AACAGGAUUAGAUACCCUGGUAGUCCACGCCCUAAACGAUGUCUACUAGUUGUCGGGUCUUAAUUGACUUGGUAACGCAGCUAACGCGUGAAGUAGACCGCCUGGGGAGUACGGUCGCAAGAUUAAAACUCAAAGGAAUUGACGGGGACCCGCACAAGCGGUGGAUGAUGUGGAUUAAUUCGAUGCAACGCGAAAAACCUUACCUACCCUUGACAUGGCUGGAAUCCUCGAGAGAUUGAGGAGUGCUCGAAAGAGAACCAGUACACAGGUGCUGCAUGGCUGUCGUCAGCUCGUGUCGUGAGAUGUUGGGUUAAGUCCCGCAACGAGCGCAACCCUUGUCAUUAGUUGCUACGAAAGGGCACUCUAAUGAGACUGCCGGUGACAAACCGGAGGAAGGUGGGGAUGACGUCAAGUCCUCAUGGCCCUUAUGGGUAGGGCUUCACACGUCAUACAAUGGUACAUACAGAGCGCCGCCAACCCGCGAGGGGGAGCUAAUCGCAGAAAGUGUAUCGUAGUCCGGAUUGUAGUCUGCAACUCGACUGCAUGAAGUUGGAAUCGCUAGUAAUCGCGGAUCAGCAUGUCGCGGUGAAUACGUCCCCGGGUCUUGUACACACCGCCCGUCACACCAUGGGAGCGGGUUUUACCAGAAGUAGGUAGCUUAACCGCAAGGAGGGCGCUUACCACGGUAGGAUUCGUGACUGGGGUGAAGUCGUAACAAGGUAACC
rnacentral:rRNA from 1 species